rnacentral:rRNA from 1 species
UACGAAGGGUGCAAGCGUUGCUCGGAAUUACUGGGCGUAAAGCGUGCGUAGGUGGUUUUUUAAGUCCGUUGUGAAAGCCCUGGGCUCAACCUGGGAAUGGCAGUGGAUACUGGAAAGCUAGAGUGCGGUAGAGGGUAGUGGAAUUCCCGGUGUAGCAGUGAAAUGCGUAGAGAUCGGGAGGAACACCAGUGGCGAAGGCGGCUACCUAGACCAGCACUGACACUGAGGCACGAAAGCGUGGGGAGCAAACAGG